GACGAACGCUGGCGGCGUGCUUAACACAUGCAAGUCGAACGGAAAGGCCCUGCUUUUGUGGGGUGCUCGAGUGGCGAACGGGUGAGUAACACGUGAGUAACCUGCCCUUGACUUUGGGAUAACUUCAGGAAACUGGGGCUAAUACCGGAUAGGAGCUCCUGCUGCAUGGUGGGGGUUGGAAAGUUUCGGCGGUUGGGGAUGGACUCGCGGCUUAUCAGCUUGUUGGUGGGGUAGUGGCUUACCAAGGCUUUGACGGGUAGCCGGCCUGAGAGGGUGACCGGCCACAUUGGGACUGAGACACGGCCCAGACUCCUACGGGAGGCAGCAGUGGGGAAUAUUGGACAAUGGGCGAAAGCCUGAUCCAGCAAUGCCGCGUGAGUGAUGAAGGCCUUAGGGUUGUAAAGCUCUUUUACCCGGGAUGAUAAUGACAGUACCGGGAGAAUAAGCUCCGGCUAACUCCGUG
rnacentral:rRNA from 1 species